GGUCACACAUGUGUCACUUGGUCAUAAAGUAUUGCUGGAAAGAUACAAAGAAGAUUAGCCUGACCCCUACACAAGGAUGACAUGCAAGUUCAUGAAGCAUGCUAUACUGAA